rnacentral:rRNA from 1 species
UACGUAGGGGGCAAGCGUUGUCCGGAAUCAUUGGGCGUAAAGAGCGCGUAGGCGGUCCGGUAAGUCCGCUGUGAAAGUCAAGGGCUCAACCCUUGAAUGCCGGUGGAUACUGUCGGGCUAGAGUCCGGAAGAGGCGAGUGGAAUUCCUGGUGUAGCGGUGAAAUGCGCAGAUAUCAGGAGGAACACCAAUCGGCGAAGGCAGCUCGCUGGGACGGUACUG